ensembl:lncRNA
GCCGCAGCCAGGGCCCAGCGAGGCUGAUGGUGACUGUGGCAGGGCCCCGGAGGUGGGGAGAGGGCGGGAGCUGGAGGACGGGGGUCCCCCAACCUGGAGGCCGGGGAACUUUCUGUUUCAUUUGUAAAGCUUUCACUAAGCAGCCAUGUGCCAACCCAGAAGCCUCCAUGUCGCUCCUAACGUGGCUAGAACACGCGGAUGGGAGGCGGCAUGGGUCGGCGUCCUGCUGGACCUUGGUAGGCGACACUCUGAUCAGUCAGGCUGAGAGCGUGGAGGUCCUCGAUGGGGUCUCAACGGUGCGGACCCCACAACACUAGACCCCUUCUCUGAUUGUCUGCCAGCUGGAUUCUUCCCAUUCCGGCCUGGGACCUGUGAGUGUGAGAGCUGAAUGACACUGCAUCAGACGACCGAGGAUGAGAUGGCUGGAUGGCAUCACCGACUCGAUGGACGUGAGUUUGAGUAAACUCCGUGAGUUGGUGAUGGACAGGGAGGCCCGGCGUGCUGCAGUCCAUGGGGUCGCAAAGAGUCGGACACGACUGAGCGGCUGAACAGAACUGACUUGAUACACCAUCACCUGAUGUACUGCGGAAAGGUACCCACUCCCCCACUGAGGGGCAUCUUGAGGCUUCCCCAUGUUGGCCAUGAUGAAUAAGCUGCCGGACUCAUCCAGGAGCAGGUUUUUGCAUGGUCUGAAGUUUUCAGCUCUUUGGGGUUAGGAACCAAGGAUCGCGGUGGCUGAACCGGGGUGGGUGUGUGUGCCGAGUCGUAGGACGCCGCCUCACGCUCCCACCAGCCACGAGGCGGUAUCUGCUGGUGUUAGUGUUUCGGUUUGGGCCUUACAGAUGUGUAGGGACAUAGUUCUUUUAUUUUAGGCAAACAUUUUCCUGUGUUAGAUCUGACAUCCUGACAUGGGCCCCCCAACUCCAGAGCUUGGUGCCAGGGAGGCCCAGCAGUGGCCCAGGGGAGGAGGCACCCCCACAGGCAGGUGAGGAAGAGGGUGGGCAGGAGCCCUCCCAGGGGGCAGCCUGCCCGCUGUGCUUUGCACGCCAUACUGGGGAGCGGGGGCUUCUUCCUGAGAGUAGUGGGCGUCCCUGGAGGGCUCCAAGUUGGGCGGUGCGGCGGUGGGGUGGAAAGAUAAGACGAGCCUGGAAGUGCCUUGGGGCUGCUGCUGAGAACCACAGUGCCUGAAAAAGAUGCAAGAGUGAGACGCACUGGACCGGCUGGGGAAGCAUCACGGCCUGGUCUUGUAACCUGGGAGACUCCGAAUGUUCCAGAAAGUUCCGAGGGCCAUUCUGAAGAGGGAGGCGGAGCCCAGUACCCUCCGAUGGAGCUCCUGCAGGGCGUGUUGCUGGCCAGCGCCGGUGUCAAGUCUCCGAGGGCGCCGCGUGACCAGCCUGUUCCGUGGCGAGGAUUUCCGUGACGGGUGGCUCGGGUUAUGUGACUGGACCGGACCCUGUUACCCCAGGCCUCGGGACCCCCAGUCUGACUCCUCUGUCAUGGGGCUGGGAAACGGGCCGCUCUCGCCGCUUCUUCCUGCCCCUAGAGUUUUCCUCGGAUACAGUGACUGAUCUGACUGAACUGUCCGUCUGGUCAAUCCUUUCAAGUCGUCUGUAGUCGUCAUUCAUUUUAUCUGAGGCUCAAUCGCGUUCUUUUUGAUCAAAGAAACAAUCGUCUUGUAAAAUGGGCCGAAUACACAUAAUAUAACGAGGGGCGUUGAUAAGGUCACGAGCACGUCCUUAAGCUCAGAAUGUUAGGCGUGGCCCUCUAUCUCCCCCGGUCAUCUGGCCAGUCUGUUCUGUACCAGUUGCUAUCUUUAAGGGAAAUGAUACACUGCUCAUAAAGUCCACCAAAGAUGUCUGCACGUCCGAGGCCAGCGGUGGGCCAUCAUGACCCCUUACAGGAUGGAGAAAGGAAUGUUAUCUUCUAAAGAGUUACAUGGUUGACGUCAAGACAAGAAAAAUAGAUUUUUAUGGUUGAGCAGGUGUCUGCCGUCCAUGUUGAGAGGUACUGGUGUGGCCUGGCGGGAGGACGUCCGCUGAGCCCCGCAGUCAAAGACAGCUCCGUUGAGGUGUAGUCGGCGUGUCAAUGCAGUAUACUGCCCGUUCUAAAACGUCCCAAGUGCUGACCUGUGCAGACACCGUGAGACCGUCACCCCCGUCAGGAUGGCAGGGUUUUCUAUAAAUGGAAGUACGUAGCAUGUACUCUUUCUUGCCUGACCUCUGUCUCCCAACAUGACUAUUUUGAGGUUCAUCCGUGCCUUUUCAUGCAUCAGUGGGACAUUCCUUCUGAUUGCCAUCGUAUGGAUACAAAAAGAAUUUUGUUUAUCCGUUCAUCUGCUGAUGGACAUUUGGCUUGUUUCCAGUUUUUGUCAAUUAAAAAUAAAGCUGCUAUUUACAUUCAUGUGAAAGUCUUUGUGAGGACAAACAUUUCCUUUUCUCGUGGGGA